rfam:Gorilla gorilla gorilla genomic chromosome, chr19, whole genome shotgun sequence
UUAUGAACGUAAGUAUGUUCCAUGCAAUAUUUGGGACAUACUUGUACUAAAA